UGGGGAAUAUUGCACAAUGGGCGCAAGCCUGAUGCAGCCAUGCCGCGUGUAUGAAGAAGGCCUUCGGGUUGUAAAGUACUUUCAGCGAGGAGGAAGGCGUUGUGGUUAAUAACCGCAACGAUUGACGUUACUCGCAGAAGAAGCACCGGCUAACUCCGUGCCAGCAGCCGCGGUAAUACGGAGGGUGCAAGCGUUAAUCGGAAUUACUGGGCGUAAAGCGCACGCAGGCGGUCUGUCAAGUCGGAUGUGAAAUCCCCGGGCUCAACCUGGGAACUGCAUCCGAAACUGGCAGGCUAGAGUCUUGUAGAGGGGGGUAGAAUUCCAGGUGUAGUGGUGAAAUGCGUAGAGAUCUGGAGGAAUACCGGUGGCGAAGGCGGCCCCCUGGACAAAGACUGACGCUCAGGUGCGAAAGCGUGGGGAGCAAACA
rnacentral:rRNA from 1 species